rnacentral:rRNA from 1 species
GACGAACGCUGGCGGCGUGCCUAAUACAUGCAAGUCGAGCGAAGUUUUUCUGGUGCUUGCACUAGAAAAACUUAGCGGCGAACGUGUGAGUAACACGUAAAGAACCUGCCUCAUAGUCUGGGACAACUAUUGGAAACGAUAGCUAAUACCGGAUAACAGUAUUUCUCGCAUGAGAGAUAUUUAAAAGUUGGUUAUGCUAACACUAUGAGAUGGCUUUGCGGUGCAUUAGCUAGUUGGUGGGGUAAAGGCCCACCAAGGCGACGAUGCAUAGCCGACCUGAGAGGGUGAUCGGCCACACUGGGACUGAGACACGGCCCAGACUCCUACGGGAGGCAGCAGUAGGGAAUCUUCCGCAAUGGGCGAAAGCCUGACGGAGCAACGCCGCGUGAGUGAAGAAGGAUUUCGGUUCGUAAAGCUCUGUUGUUAGGGAAGAAUGGAUGUGUAGUAACUAUACAUGUAAGAGACGGUACCUAACCAGAAAGCCACGGCUAACUACGUG